rnacentral:lncRNA from 1 species
GUGUUUGGUAGGCGCGCAUGUGUGAUCCGUAUGAUUUUCCAGCUCAUUUAAUGAGCUUCAUCCAACGAUUCCUGUUUUUCCAUUUUUUUUAUUUCUGACUUCAAUUUUCUUUUUAUUUCUUUAAUUCUAUUUCAUUUCAAAAAAUCAUAUCUCCUUCAUUAUUGGUCCAAAAAAUGUGAGACCAAUUACAUUUUUCUUCUUUUAAUUUCUAGUUUCUAAAAAUGGUUUUUAAUAUUUUUUAUUUUAUCAUUUGAUAUUUUUUAUGAAUUUUCUCUUUUCUGGUUAUUUUUAAUUCAUUUUAAAUAGUUUUUGAUAUUCAAAAAAUACAAAAAUAUUUUUCCAACUGUUUGAAUGAUGCUAGAUCUAUGAAAAUAUUCUCAUCAAUUCAUUAUUGAUUUGAGAUUUAUUUGAGAUUUUAAUUCAAUUAGGUUAUUUUUAUGCAUUUUAAUUGAUUAAAAAUAGUUUAUGACUUCUAAAAAUGCUGAAUUUUUUUGUCAAACUUU